GUUGGUGAGCAUCGGCACGACUGAAGACAACUCAGAACGAUUAAACUGUUCAAGGACUUUUCCACAAUGAUUCUCAAGAUCUGUUUCAUUCUGUUUCUGCUUGUCGCCAUUUCACAGAUACCAGAAGUGAAUGCACAAAAUGCAACCACCCCAAC